UACGUAGGGUGCGAGCGUUAAUCGGAAUUACUGGGCGUAAAGUGUGCGCAGGUGGCCGCGCAAGUCGAGUGUGAAAUCCCCGAGCUUAACUUGGGAAUUGCGCUCGAAACUACGUGGCUCGAGUGUGGCAGAGGAAGGUGGAAUUCCACGUGUAGCGGUGAAAUGCGUAGAGAUGUGGAGGAACACCGAUGGCGAAGGCAGCCUUCUGGGCCAACACUGACGCUCAGGCACGAAAGCGUGGGGAGCGAACAGG
rnacentral:rRNA from 1 species